AGAGUUGAUCCUGGCUCAGGAUGAACGCUGGCGGCGUGCCUAACACAUGCAAGUCGAACGGAAAUGUCUGAUGAAGUCUUCGGAUAGAUUCAUUACAUUUAGUGGCGGACGGGUGAGUAACACGUGGGUAACCUGCCCUGUACCGGGGGAUAACACUUAGAAAUAGGUGAUAAUACCGCAUAAGCGCACACUGAGGCAUCUCAGAGUGUGAAAAACUCCGGUGGUACAGGAUGGACCCGCGUCUGAUUAGCUUGUUGGCGGGGUAACGGCCCACCAAGGCGACGAUCAGUAGCCGGCCUGAGAGGGUGAACGGCCACAUUGGGACUGAGACACGGCCCAGACUCCUACGGGAGGCAGCAGUGGGGGAUAUUGCACAAUGGGGGAAACCCUGAUGCAGCCGACGCCGCGUGAGUGAUGAAGUAUUUCGGUAUGUAAAGCUCUAUCAGCAGGGAAGAUAAUGACGGUACCUGACUAAGAAGCCCCGGCUAACUACGUGCCAGCAGCGGC
rnacentral:rRNA from 1 species